ensembl:lncRNA novel transcript
CUAAAAUUCUUAUUUUAAUUAUUAUAUUUAAGUCUUUUAACUGAAAUUGACUUUUGAAUAUGUGAGAUGUAGGAAUUCAAUUCUUUUUCUUAUAAAGGGACAGUCAGUUGUGUCAACACCAAUUAUUAAAUAAACAUUUUUUUCCCUAAAUUGAAAUAAUAAUGUCAACAUCUUAAAUUUUCAUCUUUCCUGUUGUGGAUGGACUAUUUGUCUACUCCUAUGCCAGUUCCACAUGCUGGAUUAUGGUGGUUUUAUGUUCUGAUAUCUGAGAAAUCCUCCUCAUUAUUCUGCUUCUAGAUACAUGUAUUUUUCUUGGCUAUUUGUGAGUAUAUUUUUCUUCCAGCUGAACUUUAAAGUCAUUGUAUAUAGUUCUAAUAAACAAAUCCAAGUUAGUAUUCUAAUUGGAAUUGCAAGAAAUAUAUUAAUUGAGUUGAGAUAAUUAGCUUUUUUUUUUAGACAGCGUCUCACUCUGUUACCUAGGCUCACUGCAACCUCAGCCUCCUGGGCUCAAGCAAUUCUCAUGUCUCAGCCUCCUGAGUGGCUGGGAUUAUAGGUGUGUGCCACCAUGCACAGCUAAUUUUCGUAUUUUUUGUAGAGACAGGGUUUCACCAUGUUGGCCAGGCUGGUCUUGAACUCCCAGGCAUAAGCAUUCUGCCUGUCUCAGCCUCCCAAAAAGCUGGGAUUACUAGCAUGAGCCACCAUGCCUGGCCUAUAAUUAGCUUUUUCAUAAUUAAAUCUUAUCCAAGAAUUUGGUGUGCCUUUCAAUUUGUUCACACCUUGAUUUUUAUAUUGAAAAUGUUAUAGUUUUGUUCAUGUCGAUCCUUUAUUUAUUUUGUUAAAAUUUUUGAUGAAUUGAUUGCAUUAAUGACAUCACAGGGAGACUACAUUUUUCCAUCUCAUGUAACUUGCUUUGGUCAAAAGAAUGCAGAAGUGACAGUAUGCUAUUUCUACUCCUAGGCUUUAAUAUGCCUUGUAUGUUUCUGCUUGUUCUAUUUUACCUUUCCCAUAGCCAUGAAAAUAGCUUCUCCCAUAGUUGCUGCCCCUUUAACCUGGAUACAGGCCCUGAAACACAGUCAUCUACCCAAGCCCAGCCAAGAAUUAUGGGUGAAAAUACCUCAUAUGAUGAUCCAUGCAAAGGUACCAUUUGCCGUUCCCACCGUGCUCUUAUGAGGAAAGCAGCUCCCUGUUUUAUCUGCAUGAAGUUGUUGUGACUUACGCCAUAUACAUAAACUAUAACAAACCCUGCCAUUUUGAUCACAGCAGAUUGGAACAGAUGUUGUAGUAUAUUAUAAAGGCAGACAAUGUAAGUUGAUCAUUAGGAAGAACUAAUCCUUCAAGAAACUUGGAGUAAAACUGCCCAAGAGGGAUGCUCUGUAUCAGAUGCUAACAUCAACACAAUCCAUUCUUCUUGUUAAGGAUGAAGUCAUAUGUACACAGAAGUGAGUCACCACAGCACGAUAAGCAAUUGCACGAUAAGCAAUUGCUCCAUUUCUCCAUGUAACUUGCUCACAUGCCUAUCUUGGAAGUGCUGAAUAUUCUCUUUGGGUCUGACCUAUGAAUGUCAACAAAUCUCUACUUUCUCCACAUGUCACUUGACUACUGUUUAGCCUUUUAUUCUUCAACAACAGUAACUAAUCUUUAAAAACAUUUACCAUAUAAUAACAAAAAUAGUACUGAAGAGUUCCAGUAUUUUAUGUUUACAUGUCUUAUUUUGUUUAAUCCUAAUAAACUAAUCUAUAAGGUG